AGGUUAUGGAAUAAUCUGAGUCUAGUAGGUCCUGUGAGGAUGGAAGAGUAUCUGGCAGUGUUCAGUUGCUGUUCAGGCUGUUUCAUCUGGAAAUCUGCAGGAGCCUUUUUUCAUCCUGGAAAGAUGGAACCAGGGGACACUUUCCUGGAGUUUUACCAUGUUAGGAGUUAUUAAUGAAACAGUGAAAGGUCCCUCCUGAUGUGGUUGGAGGGGUCUUGGGGACAGGGCCUUAAGAUAUACCUGGUCACCUGGAGAAGGAGGAGGAUGUAAAAUGCCUGGUGAGUCCGGGAAGGGGAGAGUUUGAUUAGCCAGGGUUUGAAGGAGAUGACGAGUGUAGUUAAGUGUUGGGAUAUAAUAGCAAGUGCUGGUGAUGGGUCUGGCAAGUUAGAGAACAGGAGAGGCCAUCCAUACAUCAACUCAAAGGGAGUUAAAUUUAAUGGGUUUUGGGGUGUCUAGCGAAGCCGCAUGAGAGCUAGAGGGAGGAGGGUAAUCCAAUUUUGUUUGAGAUUUGUUUUUGUUUCUAUUGAGAGUUUAGUUAGUUGAGCUUUAAUUAACCCUUUCGCUCAUUCUACCUUGCCUGAUGAUAGAGGCAGAUAGGGGAUGUGGAGUUUCCACUGCAUGUUGAGUGUCUCUGUUACCUGUCGGGUGGUCUGAGAGAUGAAGGCAGGUCCAUUGUCUAAUUGAAUGGAAUAUGCAAGGCCAAAUCGAGGAAUGAUUUCUGUUAGGAGCACAAGAAGUACAGCAGCUGCUCCUUCCGACCUUCAGGGAAAGGCCUCUAUCCACCCCAUGAACGUAUCUACCAAGGUCUCCCUUCAGAGUUCCAGCCACAUAUUCCCCUUCUCAGCGGGAACCUGCCUAUGCUGUCUCACAGACACCAACGCUGAACUGGUGGUCUCUCCCACACAUUUACUCCUUUCCCAAAUAUUCACCAUUUUUCACCACAGUUUUGAUUACUACUUGUAUAUACAUGCAGACCUGCAUACACGUGUUCUUAUGUGAGGAAAUAUAUAAAAAUGUUUAUAUAUGUGUGUGUUUACACAUAUAAGGCAGAAGCCUUAGCAUUUUAUUUUGUGCUGUAUCUCUAGUGCCUGCAGUAGUGGCUGAUGUAAAACAGAUACUCAAUAAAUAUUUGUCAAAUGGACAAAUUUCCUGCUGGAACAAUAAUUGGGGCCAGAGCAAUGCAGUGUAUUGGUUGCUUAUAUCUUGGUC
rnacentral:lncRNA from 1 species